CAUGUUUAAUGUUAGCAUGAAUCUGGUAUGUCUUCCUUGCCACAUCCUCUUUCUUUUCCCUUUCCUCCUUAGGCAGAAUUUCAGAAUUGGGAAAAUCAAAGAGGAGAUAAAUCACAGAAUGACCAUAUGACCAGGAUUUCCAGAUGCCUGAGGAAUUCGCUGUACCAGAAGAUUACUACAGUGUUUUCUGCAAAUCUAAAGCACUUCAAAUUACUUCACACAGUCCUGUUCUCCACUCCAAUGAAAUUAAGGUUCACCAAGAUCCACAACACAAAACCUUCAAAUACCAUAUCCCUGCUGCUCUCCUGUAUGAGCAAUUCAUUUACAAGGAUUAACUGUGAUAAAUUGUGUACUAAUGGGAGAAAGUAAAGAAGGCAGAGCUGGACUCAUUUCAGUGGUGCUUAGUGGCAGAGCAAGAGACAAUGGACACAAACAGAAGCACAAGAGUCUCCACCUAGACAUCAGGAAGCACUUCUGUGCUGAGGAUGAAUUAGAAGAUACAAUGUCUUUGCUUUAUAUGUGCGUUCAAAGGACGAGCAGGUAAAAAAUUUAAAACAUAUUUCAAAGAGAAGCACAAAAAAAAAAAAAAAAGUGACAGAAGGAGAAUGUGAUGUAGCAGUUUAAUAACUGUGGGUCUGUGAGGAAAGGAACACACUUCUGUACUGGUUCAGUCUCAAAUUACAAAGUGAUUUCUUCAUUUGUGGAAUAGAAAUAAUGCAGAAAAUGUUAAAUGGCAAGAUCCUAUUUUUAGAAGAGUAAAAUACUUGAAAAAGGGUGCAAUACACACGAAGAGGGAGAUAUGCACUGACAUCACAUGAUGCAAAAGACUGAGAAGAGCCUAACAGCCUUUUCCUUUGGAUAAUCUAUGAUGAAAUGACCAUGCAUGUACACACUUAUCCAGAAGUUACAUAACAAGUCAGCCACUCAAUAGAGGUUACCAUUUAAAAAGAAAGUAGAUGUGAAAGCUUGCAAGCAUUACUGCAUUAUCCAGAAUGAUUGCAUGCACUUUGACAGAAGUCAGAUACCAACACUCUGUACAUAUAGGAAAGGGCUGUGAAAGAAACAUUACCCCUUUUUCUCCACUGCAUAUUAUGUUCAAAGUAUGAGAGUGGAGGAUAGUCUUAUUACCAAACCUAAGCUAUUUGGAAAGCUUUUCCUUUCUCCUAGCAAAGUAUUUUGGAAGCGUUGCCUGGAUCCCCUGAGGUUUUGACCAAUGUGAGCAUCUCUAUCAGAAAACAACAAUUUUCUCUAGAGAUAUAAUCAGACGAUCAGUUAUAAGAAUUUCCACUGUCAAAGCUUUUCUUGUCUACUCAACUAUUAUUGCUUUG
rnacentral:lncRNA from 1 species